CCCAAAAAUUAAGGUGGAUGGAGAUUAUUGAUUAAGAAAGAAGGAAAAGAAAAGAAUAAUAUAUACAAUCCCAGGGAAGAUCUUCUUAUAUAUACACCCUCUUACACAGUCAGCUAGCUCCUACAGGAAAAGGAAAGAUAACUGAGACCAUUUAAGCAAAAGCAAAGCUGUCGAAAAGCAAGAAAAUGGCGCGGACAGUACUCUUGUUAGAGUCAGUUCGCACAAAGAUGGAAAUAAGUAUGAGUUAGUAGAAAACAAGGAAUUUAUAGUGGAUGAUAUGAAGGUGCCAAAAGGAAUAAUUCAUCGUCGAGCUCGUCCUAAUCAUAGUUCAGCCCUAUCCCUGAAACAGCACUUCAUCUUCACAUCAACAACUGGUCUUAUUUAUUUCUUGUCUCUUCUCCUGGUUUAGCCCCUUGCCCUCAUUCCCUGAAACAUUCCACAAUAAUAUUCUAUUUAUAUCUUUCAUCUCUAUGUCAACUACUGCACUUGUGAUGUGGUGACUGAUUUUAUAUAUAUAUAGCAGCUGGUUUUGUUUGAUUGUAGUAAA